rnacentral:rRNA from 1 species
UGGCAGGCUAGAGUCUUGUAGAGGGGGGUAGAAUUUCAGGUGUAGCGGUGAAAUGCGUAGAGAUCUGAAGGAAUACCAGUGGCGAAGGCGGCCCCCUGGACAAAGACUGACGCUCAGAUGCGAAAGCGUGGGUAGCAAACAGGAUUAGAUACCCUGGUAGUCCACGCCGUAAACGCUGUCUACUUGGAGGUUGAGGUUUAGACUUUGGCUUUCGGCGCUAACGCAUUAAGCAGACCGCCUGGGGAGUACGGCCGCAAGGUUAAAACUCAAAUGAAUUGACGGGGGCCCGCACAAGCGGUGGAGCAUGUGGUUUAAUUCGAUGCAACGCGAAGAACCUUACCUACUCUUGACAUCCAGCGAAGCCUUUAGAGAUAGAGGCGUGCCUUCGGGAGCGCUGAGACAGGUGCUGCAUGGCUGUCGUCAGCUCGUGUUGUGAAAUGUUGGGUUAAGUCCCGCAACGAGCGCAACCCUUAUCCUUGUUUGCCAGCACGUAAUGGUGGGAACUCCAGGGAGACUGCCGGUGAUAAACCGGAGGAAGGUGGGGACGACGUCAAGUCAUCAUGGCCCUUACGAGUAGGGCUACACACGUGCUACAAUGGCAGAUACAGAGGGCAGCGAAGCUGCGAAGUGGAGCGAAUCCCUUAAAGUCUGUCGUAGUCCGGAUUGGAGUCUGCAACUCGACUCCAUGAAGUCGGAAUCGCUAGUAAUCGUGGAUCAGAAUGCCACGGUGAAUACGUUCCCGGGCCUUGUACACACCGCCCGU